rnacentral:rRNA from 1 species
CAGUCGCCGCGGGAAUACAGAGGGUGCGAGCGUUAAUCGGAUUUACUGGGCGUAAAGCGUGCGUAGGCGGCUUUUUAAGUCGGAUGUGAAAUCCCUGAGCUUAACUUAGAAAUUGCAUUCGAUACUGGGAAGCUAGAGUAUGGGAGAGGAUGGUAGAAUUCCAGGUGUAGCGGUGAAAUGCGUAGAGAUCUGGAGGAAUACCGAUGGCGAAGGCAGCCAUCUGGCCUAAUACUGACGCUGAGGUACGAAAGCAUGGGGAGCAAACAGGAUUAGAUACCCGAGUAGUCCCUGUCUCUUAUAC